rnacentral:rRNA from 1 species
UACGUAGGUGACCAGCGUUGUCCGGAUUUACUGGGCGUAAAGAGCGCGCAGGCGGUCGUUCAAGUCGAGUGUGAAAGCCCCGGCUCAACUGGGGAGGGUCAUUCGAUACUGAUCGACUUGAAGGCAGGAGAGGGAAGCGGAAUUCCCGGUGUAGUGGUGAAAUGCGUAGAUAUCGGGAGGAACACCAGUGGCGAAGGCGGCUUCCUGGCCUGUUCUUGACGCUGAGGCG